GCCUAACACAUGCAAGUCGAACGAAAGCGAUUAGGAUGAAGUUUUCGGAUGGAUUCCUGGUUGACUGAGUGGCGGACGGGUGAGUAACGCGUGGAUAACCUGCCUCAUACUGGGGGAUAACAGUUAGAAAUGGCUGCUAAUACCGCAUAAGCGCACAGUACCGCAUGGUACGGUGUGAAAAACCCAGGUGGUGUGAGAUGGAUCCGUGUCUGAUUAGCCAGUUGGCGGGGUAACGGCCCACCAAAGCGACGAUCAGUAGCCGACCUGAGAGGGUGACCGGCCACAUUGGGACUGAGACACGGCCCAAACUCCUACGGGAGGCAGCAGUGGGGAAUAUUGCACAAUGGGCGCAAGCCUGAUGCAGCGACGCCGCGUGAGUGAAGAAGUAUCUCGGUAUGUAAAGCUCUAUCAGCAGGGAAGAAAAUGACGGUACCUGACUAAGAAGCCCCGGCUAACUACGUGCCAGCAGCCGCGGUAAUACGUAGGGGGCAAGCGUUAUCCGGAUUUACUGGGUGUAAAGGGAGCGUAGACGGCGACGCAAGUCUGGAGUGAAAGCCCGGGGCCCAACCCCGGGACUGCUUUGGAAACUGUGCUGCUGGAGUGCAGGAGAGGUAAGUGGAAUUCCUAGUGUAGCGGUGAAAUGCGUAGAUAUUAGGAGGAACACCAGUGGCGAAGGCGGCUUACUGGACUGUAAC
rnacentral:rRNA from 1 species